UUUUCUGUGGGAAGAAAAGAGAAAGUGCUGAGUCGAGGCUGCCCUCCCUCCUGAGGGCCCCCCACGGGGAGUGGGCGCUGCACUGACCAGCCUGUCACCAAAGCAGGCCUCUAGCUACCAACAGACAGCAGACACAGGGCUGUUCCGAUGAGGUAAUGAUGGAUGGCCCCAGGACCGGGAGGUGACAAAGGAGGACAGGAAGAAUGAGUCAAGGUGAGAAGGAAGAAGGGGUGAGAGAGUAUGAUGGAAAAGCAGGGAAGUGGGAUUCCCACAGAUGUGUGUGUGCACGUGUGUGUGUGUGUGUGUGUGUGUGUACGAUGCAAACGUCCCAUCUCACACCCCCUUCCAGCAACUGCUGUAACCUGGCUCCAUUACGACUUCCCUCCCUGUGACCCAAGGAACAGACUUGAAUCCCCUCCCAGAGGUCCUUCUUCCCCAUAACCUGGCCACGUCUGCUCCACGUGACAUCCUCUCUACAAGCCUGCCUUGAUUUCCACUCACUCUCACCACAAACCCAAUUUUGUGCUCCUGUGUUUUUUCAAUUAUUACACUCAGUGCAUUGACUUGCCAUGACGUUUUUAUGCUUUCGUCUAGACCAAGAGCUUCUUAAAGGCAGAGACCUUGUCUUAUUCAACCUUGGGUUCCUAGCAGUUCCCCAGCAAUAAGUGUCUACUGAAUGAAGUAAGUAAACUCACUACUGACUCCCCAGCUCUGAAGGACCCACACCUCUGGGUUCAAGUUCCCAAGUUCUUUGCAGAUGUAAUCAAACGAGAAUGAGGUCAUCAGGGUGGGCCCUGAUCCAGUAUAACUGGUGUCCUUGUAAGACGGGAAAUUGGACACGGAGACAGACACGCACAGAGGGGAGACUGUGUGAAGAGACACAGGGACACGUGUGUGAAGACUGAAGCUGUGCUGCACGAGCCGAUGAAUGUCUGCGGCUACCAGAAGCUGAAAGAGGCACGGGAAGAUUCUUCUGCAGGUUUCAGAGGGAGCAAGGCCCUGCCAACACCUUGGUUUUAGAUUUCUAGCCUCAAACCGUGAGAUAACACCUUGUUAUCUUCUUGUCAUUUCUGUUGUUCUAAGCCACCCCCAGGUUUUGGUACUUUGUUACAGUAGCCCUGGGCAACUAAUACAAACUCCAAUCUUAUUUUUCUGAAAUUGAUAAAAAUUUUUCUUUAAAAAGUAGAUAAAGUAGAGAGAUGAAAUCUCACUGUAUUGCCCUGGUUGGUCUUGAACUCCUGGGUUCAAGCGGUCCUCCCACUUCGACCUUCCAAACUGCUGGGAUCACAGGGGUGAGCCACCAUACCCAGCCUGAAAUUGGUUUUUAAAAUCCAAACAUCAUCCUUUACACUUAACCUUGAUUUCUUAUUUUGGAGCAUAUUUCUAGCCUGUCAAGAGCACCAUGAUUCUGCAACGUACCUCUGAAUUUCAGUGUGUUUACCUAGGAAGUAGAGAUAACAAACACGCCUAGCUUUCUGAGGGUUAUAGGUAAAGUCUAAAAUACAAUGCAAAUGCUAUUCUAAUUCUAUCAUCCAUCUUAUCUACUCUAUC